rnacentral:rRNA from 1 species
GACGAACGCUGGCGGCGUGCUUAACACAUGCCAGUCGAACGGAAAGGCCUGCUUUCCCUUGUGGAUUGCGGGUACUCGAGUGGCGAACGGGUGAGUAACACGUGAGUGAUCUGCCCCCAACUUGGGUAUAAGCCUGGGAAACUGGGUCUAAUUCCCGAUAGGACUGCAGGGUGGUGCCUGUGGUGGAAAACGAUUUUCUAGUGGUUGGGGAUGAGCUCGCGGCCUAUCAGCUUGUUGGUGGGGUAAUGGCCUACCAAGGCGGCGACGGGUAGCCGGCCUGAGAGGGUAGACGGCCACAUUGGGACUGAGAUACGGCCCAGACUCCUACGGGAGGCAGCAGUGGGGAAUAUUGCACAAUGGGCGGAAGCCUGAUGCAGCGACGCCGCGUGGGGGAUGACGGCCUUCGGGUUGUAAACUCCUUUCGACCGCGAGGAAGCCACCUGGUUGGAAGGGUGGUGACGGUAGUGGUAGAAGAAGCACCGGCUAACUACGUG